UACAUUUCUAGCUUGUAGAAGAUGCGACCGGCGGACGGGUGAGUAAUGCUUGGGAACAUGCCUUGAGGUGGGGNNCAACCAUUGGAAACGAUGGCUAAUACCGCAUAAUGUCUACGGACCAAAGGGGGCUUCGGCUCUCGCCUUUAGAUUGGCCCAAGUGGGAUUAGCUAGUUGGUGAGGUAAAGGCUCACCAAGCGACGAUCCCUAGCUGGUUUGAGAGGAUGAUCAGCCACACUGGAACUGAGACACGGUCCAGACUCCUACGGGAGGCAGCAGUGGGGAAUAUUGCACAAUGGGCGCAAGCCUGAUGCAGCCAUGCCGCGUGUGUGAAGAAGGCCUUCGGGUUGUAAAGCACUUUCAGUCAGGAGGAAAGGUUAGUAGUUAAUACCUGCUAGCUGUGACGUUACUGACAGAAGAAGCACCGGCUAACUCCGUGCCAGCAGCCGCGGUAAUACGGAGGGUGCGAGCGUUAAUCGGAAUUACUGGGCGUAAAGCGUACGCAGGCGGUUUGUUAAGCGAGAUGUGAAAGCCCCGGGCUUAACCUGGGAACUGCAUUUCGAACUGGCAAACUAGAGUGUGAUAGAGGGUGGUAGAAUUUCAGGUGUAGCGGUGAAAUGCGUAGAGAUCUGAAGGAAUACCGAUGGCGAAGGCAGCCACCUGGGUCAACACUGACGCUCAUG
rnacentral:rRNA from 1 species